rnacentral:rRNA from 1 species
GAUGAACGCUGGCGGCGUGCCUAAUACAUGCAAGUCGAGCGAACGGACGAGAAGCUUGCUUCUCUGAUGUUAGCGGCGGACGGGUGAGUAACACGUGUAUAACCUACCUAUAAGACUGGGAUAACUUCGGGAAACCGGAGCUAAUACCGGAUAAUAUUUUGAACCGCAUGGUUCAAAAGUGAAAGACGGUCUUGCUGUCACUUAUAGAUGGAUACGCGCUGCAUUAGCUAGUUGGUAAGGUAACGGCUUACCAAGGCAACGAUGCAUAGCCGACCGGAGAGGGUGAUCGGCGACACUGGAGGUGAGACACGGUCCAGAGUCCUACGGGAGGCAGCAGUAGGGAAUCUUCCGCAAUGGGCGAAAGCCUGGCGGAGCAGCGCCGCGUGAGUGAUGAAGGUCUUCGGAUCGUAAAACUCUGUUAUUAGGGAAGAACAUAUGUGCAAGUAGCUGUGCACAUCUUGACGGUACCUAAUCAGAAAGCCACGGCUAACUACGUG